AAUGCACAAAUGGGCAAAGGACUUGAAUAGACACUUCUCAGAAGAUAUGCAAAUAGCCAACAUGCACAGGAAAAGGUGCUCAACACCAUUAGUUGUUAGGGAAAUGCGAGUCAAAUCCAGAA